CUUCUUUGACGUUAGCGGCGGACGGGUGAGUAACACGUGGGUAACCUACCUAUAAGACUGGGAUAACUUCGGGAAACCGGAGCUAAUACCGGAUAAUAUUUCGAACCGCAUGGUUCGAUAGUGAAAGGUGGUUUUGCUAUCACUUAUAGAUGGACCCGCGCCGUAUUAGCUAGUUGGUAAGGUAACGGCUUACCAAGGCGACGAUACGUAGCCGACCUGAGAGGGUGAUCGGCCACACUGGAACUGAGACACGGUCCAGACUCCUACGGGAGGCAGCAGAU
rnacentral:rRNA from 1 species